AUUCCCUUUCUUCUUCACGCAUCUGGCGCCCCCCUCUUCCAUUCUCAAUUAUUUUUUCCUUCACCGAAGCCUACCUCCAUCUUCCAUCGACGUAAACCUAGCAUCUCCGUUGCCGACCUCGACCAGCAUCUCCCGUUGCCGACUCGACCAGCAUCUCCCAUCGUCAACCUUGCCAACAUCUCCUUGCCGCUGAUCGUUUGCGCCGCCCAGAUCUGGUUCCGGUCUCCCACGUCGAGCCGCUACACUCGUAUGCCGCCAGAUCUUCUCACGCCAAGCCACGUCGUCGGAUCUGAAGCCGCGCCGUCGACGCCCAGCGCCCCAGAUCCGUGCCGCCUAGUCAUAGCACUUCUAGCCAGUCGUGCCCUCCCUCGCCCCGUUAGCUCGACCUUGUCGUUGAACCAGCUUCCACCGUAAAUCUUCUUCGCCACUUGGUUCUGAUCGAAUCUUGGUUGGGAGUAAGAUUUUUGCGUUAAUUGGGGGUUUUAGAGGAGAAUUUGUGCGCUGUCCAGCGGGUGUUGAAGUUCCUUCUUCGUGACAAUUUGAUUCAAGAAUUGAGAAGUUUAGGGUGUUGCUCAUCAAAGUAAAGGCCAAUUAUCUAUUAAAGUUUGGUAACCAACAGAAGUGGGUUUUAGAAUUAAGUUUAGACCGAGCUAUAGUUUAGGUGUUGCUUGUCUUGAAAAGGAUAAGCUUGCUUGGGCUUCUUUGGAUUUAACUUUGAGGUAAGAGUAGAGAUGCACCGACGAUGGACAAGCGGAAUUCAUGAUCGAGUCACUGGGACUAGUU